CUCUUAUGACUCAAGGCCGGGGUAAUAAUAGUGUAUAACAAUGAUAAUAAUAAUGAUUUUUAAAAUUGUGUCAGGAGCGACUUGAGAACAUACUGCAAGUUGCUUCUGGUGUGAGAGAAUUGACUGUCUACAGAGACGUUGCCCAGGGGACGCCCAGAUGUGUUAUCAUCCUGCUGGGAGGAUUCUCUCAUGUCCCCACAAGAUGAUAAUGAUAAUAAAAUAUAGUAAUAAUACUGUAGUAAUAAUAAAAAAUAAAAUACAAUAAUAACUGUUAUAAUAACACUAUGUAACAAAAUUUGAAAAAAAAAUCUGUUUCUCGUUUGAAAGUGUUAUUUCCAGUUUCAUUAUGUGAUACUUACUUUGAAAGUAGUUAUUUUAUUCCAGCUUGAUUAGCAUUAAAUAGCCUUGCAACUUGAAGGCCUGGCUGCUUCUUGCCUGGGUGAACCCUUUCUUGGGAGGUGUUAGCUGGCCCUGAUUGUUUCUUGUCUGGAAUUCCUCUGUUUUCUGAGUGUUGCUCUUUAUUUACUGUCCUGGUUUUAGAGUUUUUAAAAAAAAUACUGAUAGUCAGAUAUUGUUCAUUUUCAUGGUUUUCCUUCUGUUGAAAUUGUCCACAUGCUUGUAGAUUUCAAUGGCCUCUCUGUGUUGUCUGACAUGGUGGUUGUUAGCGUGGUCCAGCAUUUCUUUGUCCUCGAAUAAUAUCCUGUGUUUAGGAUGUUCACUGCCAUGGCUAAAUGCUAUGGAUCCCCCUUUGCUGAGAGCUAUUGUUAUUAUGAAACCAAAGUGCCCUCUACUGGCCACAACAAGAAAAGGCAGGCGAUGGCUUUUCAAGGUAGCCUUCCCCAAUCGAGUGGCGUCCAACAGUUUUGGACUUCGAUUCCCAGAAGCUCCAGCCAGCAUGAGCAACGGCCAGGAAUUCUGGGAGAUGAAGUCCAACACCUGUGAAGCCCUGCCACAGAAGGGAGGAAGGGAGAAGAGCCACGGGGGCUUGUCCUUUCCCGGGGGCGGGGCCAGGAGCGGCUCUGUUCUCUUGGAAGGGGCGUGUCCUUUCCCUAGAAGGGGCGGAGUCAGUGAUCCCCUCUAUUCUCUGAAAGAGGCGUGUCCUUUACCUGGAAGGGGCGGGGCCAGGGGCGUUUCCUUUCUCUUCCUUUCCCUGGAAGGGACGGAGCCGGGGCGUGUCCUUUCUAUCGGAGAGGGCGUGUCUUUCCCUGGGAGGGGCGGAGCCAGGAGCGUCUCUGUUCUCUUGGAAGAGGCGUGUCUUUCCCUGGGAUGGGCGUGUCUUUCCCUGGUAAGGGGCGGGGCCAAGGGCGCAUCUGUUCUUCUGGAAGGGGCGUGUCCUUUCUCUGGGAUGGGCGUGUCUUUCCCUGGGAGGGGCGGAGCCAGGAACGGUAUUUCUCUUGCAAGGGGCGUGUCUUUCCCUGGUAAGGGGCGGGGUCAAGGGUGCCUCUGUUCUCUUGGGAGGGGCGUGUCUUUUCUCUGGGAUGGGCGUGUCUUUCCCUGGGAGGGUCGGAGCCAGGAGCGGUAUUUCUCUAGGAAGGGCGUGUCUUUCCCUGGUAAGGGGCGGGGCCAAGGUCGCAUCUGUUCUUCUGGAAGGGGCGUGUCUUUCUCUGGGAGGGGCGGAUCCAGGAGCGUCUCUGUUCUCUUUCCCUGGUAA
rnacentral:lncRNA from 1 species